rnacentral:rRNA from 1 species
AUUGAACGCUGGCGGAAUGCUUUACACAUGCAAGUCGAACGGCAGCGGGGGAGAAGCUUGCUUUUCCUGCCGGCGAGUGGCGAACGGGUGAGUAAUACACCGGAACGUGCCCUGUAGUGGGGGAUAACUAGUCGAAAGAUUAGCUAAUACCGCAUACGACCUGAGGGUGAAAGUGGGGGACCGCAAGGCCUCAUGCUAUAGGAGCGGCCGAUGUCUGAUUAGCUAGUUGGUGGGGUAAAGGCCUACCAAGGCGACGAUCAGUAGCUGGUCUGAGAGGACGAUCAGCCACACUGGGACUGAGACACGGCCCAGACUCCUACGGGAGGCAGCAGUGGGGAAUUUUGGACAAUGGGCGAAAGCCUGAUCCAGCAACGCCGCGUGUGUGAAGAAGGCCUUCGGGUUGUAAAGCACUUUUGUCCGGAAAGAAAUGGCUCUGGUUAAUACCUGGGGUCGAUGACGGUACCGGAAGAAUAAGGACCAGCUAACUACGUGCCAGCCGCCGCAGUAA